GGUUGAUUAGCUCAGCUGGUUAGAGCGCCCGCCUCACAUGCGGGAGGUCGAGGGUUCGAGUCCCCCAUCGACCACCA
rnacentral:tRNA from 2 species